rnacentral:ncRNA from 1 species
AAGAACCGUAUGAUGGGAGACUAUCACGUACGGUUCCCUGUGAGAGGCUCGGGGUGAAACUCCCUUUUUCUACUCGAC